rnacentral:lncRNA from 1 species
CAAGUGUCUCUACCUCUAAUUUCCUUUUGUGCAAUUUUCUCUUUCUGACAACUCCCUCCACAUGAAGAUCUCCGUUCAGCAAGCCCAGGCUUAUGGGUUCCUCCAGCUUACAACCUCAAGGAGAAAGAGAUCCUUAUGCUGCUGGUAGCCAUAUCGAUUUUCUCUCCAGGCAUCUCUGAUUGGGUGUGUUGGGGUCAUGGGACCUUUCCUGGGCCCAUCACUACCUCUAGAAGCUAUACUCCUUAUGUGGCGGAUAUGGAGGCUUCUAUUUGGCAACCACAGAAUCAUGCCCAGUGGAAGCAGGGUGUCCUUGUUCUCACCGUGGCUGAUUCCAAGCUACCAACGCGGUUUCACCAAAGGCGGAGCUGGGAAGAAAUGCACAGUGGCCCACUGUUGUCAUAGAGCAUUUUCGCUGUGUAGAUAAAAUAGAUGUAAAUCACCCCAAAAGCAUAGAUAACUAAUUGUCAACUGUAGUCAAAUAAUUAGGAAGAGGUGAGU